AACGAACGCUGGCGGCAGGCCUAACACAUGCAAGUCGAGCGCGCCCUUCGGGGUGAGCGGCGGACGGGUGAGUAACGCGUGGGAACGUGCCCUUUUCUACGGAAUAGCCUCGGGAAACUGAGAGUAAUACCGUAUACGCCCUUUGGGGGAAAGAUUUAUCGGAAAAGGAUCGGCCCGCGUUGGAUUAGGUAGUUGGUGGGGUAAUGGCCUACCAAGCCGACGAUCCAUAGCUGGUUUGAGAGGAUGAUCAGCCACACUGGGACUGAGACACGGCCCAGACUCCUACGGGAUGCAGCAGUGGGGAAUCUUAGACAAUGGGGGCAACCCUGAUCUAGCCAUGCCGCGUGAGUGAUGAAGGCCUUAGGGUUGUAAAGCUCUUUCAGCUGGGAAGAUAAUGACGGUACCAGCAGAAGAAGCCCCGGCUAACUCCGUG
rnacentral:rRNA from 1 species